GAUGAACGCUAGCUACAGGCUUAACACAUGCAAGUCGAGGGGUAACAAGAGGAAAGCUUGCUUUUCUUGUUGACGACCGGCGCACGGGUGAGUAACGCGUAUCCAACCUGCCUAUAACUAGGGAAUAACCUUGCGAAAGUAAGACUAAUACCCUAUGAUUUCCUUUGAUGACAUCAGAUUAGGAAUAAAGAUUUAUCGGUUAUAGAUGGGGAUGCGUCUGAUUAGCUUGUUGGCGGGGUAACGGCCCACCAAGGCAACGAUCAGUAGGGGUUCUGAGAGGAAGGUCCCCCACAUUGGGACUGAGACACGGUGCAAACUCCUACGGGAGGCAGCAGUGAGGAAUAUUGGUCAAUGGGCGGAAGCCUGAACCAGCCAAGUAGCGUGCAGGAUGACGGCCCUAUGGGUUGUAAACUGCUUUUAUACAGGAAUAAAGUUAGCCACGUGUGGUUAUUUGUAGGUACUGUAUGAAUAAGGACCGGCUAAUUCCGUGCCAGCCGCCGCAGUAA
rnacentral:rRNA from 1 species